GGACAGAAAGACCCUAUGAAGCUUUACUGUAGCCUGGAAUUGUGUCCGGGCCUCGCUUGCGCAGAAUAGGUGGGAGGCGUCGAACUAGCCCUUGUGGGGGCUAGGGAGCCGCAAUGUGAGAUACCACUCUGGCGAGGCUAGGAUUCUAACUUUCACCCGUCAUCCGGGGAAAGAACCGUUUCAGGUGGGCAGUUUGACUGGGGCGGUCGCCUCCUAAAUGGUAACGGAGGCGCGCAAAGGUUCCCUCAGGCUGGUUGGAAAUCAGCCGCAGAGUGCAAAGGCACAAGGGAGCUUGACUGCAAGAGAGACACCUCAAGCAGGUAGGAAACUAGGCCUUAGUGAUCCGACGGCACUGCGUGGAAGGGCCGUCGCUCAACGGAUAAAAGUUACUCUAGGGAUAACAGGCUGA
rnacentral:rRNA from 1 species